rnacentral:rRNA from 1 species
CCUACGGGAGGCUGCAGUAGGGAAUAUUGCUCAAUGGGGGAAACCCUGAAGCAGCAACGCCGCGUGGAGGAUGAAGGUUUUAGGAUUGUAAACUCCUUUUGUCAGAGAAGAUUAUGACGGUAUCUAACGAAUAAGCACCGGCUAACUCCGUGCCAGCAGCCGCGGUAAUACGGAGGGGGCAAGCGUUACUCGGAAUUACUGGGUGUAAAGAGUGCGUAGGCGGGGGAAUAAGUCGGAGGUGAAAUCCUGUGGCUUAACUACAGAACUGCUGUUGAAAAUGUUAAUCUGGAGUGUGGGAGAGGUAGGUGGAAUUCUUGGUGUAGGGGUAAAAUCCGUAGAGAUCAGGAGGAAUACUAGUUGCGAAGGCGACCUGCUGGAACAUUACUGACGCUGAUGCACGAAAGCGUGGGGAGCAAACAGGAUUAGAUACCCUUGUAGUC